rnacentral:rRNA from 1 species
GACGAACGCUGGCGGCGUGCCUAAUACAUGCAAGUCGAGCGAAGUUUUUCUGGUGCUUGCACCGGAAAAACUUAGCGGCGAACGGGUGAGUAACACGUAAAGAACCUGCCUCAUAGACUGGGACAACUAUUGGAAACGAUAGCUAAUACCGGAUAACAGCAUUAACUGCAUGGUUGAUGUUUAAAAGUUGGUUUUGCUAACACUAUGAGAUGGCUUUGCGGUGCAUUAGCUAGUUGGUGGGGUAAAGGCCUACCAAGGCGACGAUGCAUAGCCGACCUGAGAGGGUGAUCGGCCACACUGGGACUGAGACACGGCCCAGACUCCUACGGGAGGCAGCAGUAGGGAAUCUUCCGCAAUGGGCGAAAGCCUGACGGAGCAACGCCGCGUGAGUGAAGAAGGAUUUCGGUUCGUAAAGCUCUGUUGUUAGGGAAGAAUGAUUGUGUAGUAACUAUACACAGAGAGACG